rnacentral:tRNA from 1 species
GCUCUUCUAGUAUAUUAAUUACAAUUGACUUCCAAUCUCUAAAAUCUGG